UUGCUUGUUUCAGCAGCACAAAUAUUAAAAGUGAAACAAUAUAGAAACAAUUAGCAUGGCCCCUAUGCAAGGAUGACAGGAGUACAUACAAAUUCAGGAAAUGUAU